rnacentral:rRNA from 1 species
UACGGGGGGUGCGAGCGUUGUCCGGAAUCACUGGGCGUAAAGGGCGCGUAGGUGGUUUGAUAAGGGUGUGGUGAAAGUCCGGGGCUCAACCCCGGAUCUGCCGUGCCGACUGUCAAACUCGAGGACUGUAGAGGCAGACGGAAUUCCGGGUGUAGCGGUGAAAUGCGCAGAUAUCAGGAGGAACACCGGUGGCGAAGGCGGCAUCCUGGACCGGUAUUGACGCUGAGGAGCGAAAGCCAGGGGAGCAAACGGG